AAGUCAGUUUACCCUUUGUCAGGCUUAAGAAUUUUUUUUCCGUGGAAUCUCCAGUCCGUGCGCAUUAAAAUUGCAAUUUAAUGAACAAAUCAGAUAACUUUUUACUGUUUGAUUAGACACGAGGAAAUCUAAGUCAUACUUGCGCUUAAAAGAACGUAAAGUUGCACUAUUACUAAAGCAUUAACAGCGAUAAAGAUUUUUCAAGCACUUAAUUAAUCGAUAAAGAUUAAGUGGGGGAUCAGCUCAAAAGUUGAAAAGUUCGUAUAUCUACGAAGUCAGUGGGGAAAAUCUCAAACUAGGUAUAUCAACGAUGUGCGCCACAACGGCGCAAUGUUUCAAUAUUCUAUGCGCCAUUUUUUUUUAUUUAAUGCGACUAUGGUGCAGGGCGCGUGCUUAUCCCAAUCACUGUAUAUAUGUUAAAUUAAUAUUUUUAAUUCUUUGGAUCUGUGAUUUAUUUUCAUAAGAUAAGAAAUUCUUUUUAUUCUAAACUUUUACUGCAUAGUUGUUUGAUGCUUGGUCAAUAUUGUUCAAUCCAUGGUGAAAUAGCUCAAUACUGCAUUAAUUAGUUUUAUUUUCUCUUACACUGUCAUUAUUUAUGUGUAAAGUGUGAUUUCUCGUGCUUGUGCAGGUAUUCAACUAGUAUAAUCAGAAACACAAGAUUGGAAUUAAAAAUUAAAACAUUAUAACAAUAUGUUUAAACUUAUAAAAAAGUUCAACUGUUUGGUGGAUAAAAAUAUCUACACUUUACUAUAUGUAUGCAUGUUUGACUAUAGAAUGGGGGUCAAACACACUGUCAAGUGAGGAAGGGGGGAGGAUUGAGGGGUUGGGGCAGAUGUUACAUAUCUCAUAUCGUUAAAGGCUCUGUUUAUUACAAAAAAAUGAUGCACACUGGCAGGACCAAAUAAAAUACAUUCAUCCAUCCUCCAACAAGUUCCAUCAAACCUGUACUUAGGAAUUACCAUCUGAAGACCUAAAGCGGGGAACACAAAUUUCUAACAUCACCAAGAAGGCUGAUUCAAACCUAGGCUAUAUCUGCGAAGAAAUCUACAAAACUGCCCCAAAGGAAGCCGACGCAAUACCUAUAUCUCAUUUAUAUGACCUAUCUUAGAGUACGUAUCUUUUGUAUGGGAUCCUUACUACACUAAGGACAUCAGCAACAUUGAGAGAGUCCAAAUCAUCGCAGCAAGAGUUAUCUCUCUGACCAUACCAACCGAGUAGCAGAAUGUAUCAGUGCAAUAUUCAGAGAUUUCAAACAACCAACACUUCAAGACAGAUGCUAUAACAUUAGACUAACAUACUUCUACAAGGUAGUUUAGGGACUGAUGCCAGCCAUACACCGCCACAAAAUUACUGUACCCACCACGUACCUUGAAAUUAUGCAGAAGUGACAGAACCAUCACUGCCCAUACAUAUACAGACUAUAAUACUGAUAAAAUAUCUGACCAUUCAGCCUUACUAUGACAGCAGAGGAUUGAUUUUUGCGACAAAGUCCUGCACUCUCUCACUAAUUGAAAUUACACUAAAUUUGCAAUUUGUUAUGUAUUCAUAGAUACAAGUAUUGAACUGUUGAAGUAAAAUACUAAUAUGUAUAUGCUACCCGGAAAAAGGUUUAACCUGUUAACCUCCAACAUAUUUCCAAACUUAAUCAUGUUAAUUUUGAUAAAACAAAUAACCUCCAUUGUUUACGAUUAUGGUGAUUUAUACAACACUUCAAUAUACGGGAUUACAAUUCUGAUUAGUCCCGAUCCACAAUGCUGCUCAUGUUCACUAAGUUCAGUUCACUCACCAGCAUGCAGCAGCCAUGAUUUCGGUGCCGACGGGGCUACUUUCACUUUCACAGGAAGUGAAUGCAGAUCGAGGUCAAAUUAACGUCGGAGGCCCUGUUGUUUAGAAUUGGAAACUCUGAGCAUAGAUUGAUCAUACAUGAUGAGUAUUUACUCAAGGAAUUACAUUUCAUGCCCAGAUAUGUUGGGCCCAAUGCGUCUUUGCUCCAACCAUCACAAACUGACAAACGGAUGGUGACCGUGAUACUGAUAGUAACAGCUGAGUAAGGCUACAUGUACCCCCAUCAUCACUGAAAGGCAACCGGGAUGCAGUCUUUAAAUCUGGAGUUCUGGGCAGAACUGUGCAUUUCUGGAACAAUGAUGAGUUUAAGUGAAAUGGUAAUUUGUCAUGAAUUUCUACAGUGGCUACAUGUACCCUGACCAUCUUUGAAAGGCAACCGGGAUACAGUGCAGUCUUUAUCUGGAAUUCUUGGCAGAACUGGACAUUCCUGGAACAAUGAUCAAUUCAAGUGAAACAGACUCGGGUGCAAGCAGAAAUUCUUGUAAUUACAGAAUGUAUUCCUUAAGAGAGGCAACAUGUGACCUGAAAACAAUUCUAUUCAGAUCUAUUUAAGGAAUGAAUUCAGUAUCUAAUUCAUCCAAGUAUAUACUGGGUUUGGGCAGUUUGCGCUUUUUUAAACUGCUAAGUGGUUUAUGAAAAAGCACAUUUUUGAACUUGCAAAAGAAAUCAGACCAACUGCUGAUAUACGUGGUUUUCAGUGAGUUAAUCAACGAUUAUCUAUGAAAAGUUAGCUACACUGAACAGUUUCUUUUUUUACAUGAGUAUAUAUACCUGAAACCCAUUGCACAUCAUAAGAAUUUUAUUUUAUUUUGGACAGUGCUCUUGUUGUAAAGUAUUAUGUGUAAUGCAUGUGAGUUGUGGACAGGGGUUUGUAGUCAUCUGAGAACAAGGAUUGGCACGUUGGGUGGACUUAGAGAAAUCUUCAUAUGCUAAACCCAGUUUUAGAAGAAACGAAGAAAGCAAACACUAGAUCAGUUCCAACUAAUAGAGCUGUCAAUCAGGAUAAGCAAUAAAACAUGCAGGCAACAACUUUAAGGGGAAAUACUCGCUAAAUGCGAGUUUAAAAUUGAAAUUGCGAGUAAAAAAUCACAAGUGAUCACAACUUUUUGCGAGUGAAAAAAAAACACGAUCUUUUUUCCGGAUUUUCGCGGUUUAUUGGCUGUACUUUGAAGUUUACAAUAAUUUUGUCUUGUGCAUAGAAAUGCUUUACAGAAUGAAUAUACAAGUAUUGAAAAAGUAAACGUGGAUCGAAUAAAUAACUAAGGCCAAGGUCAUCUCAGUCAGUCCUACUUCAAGCACACUUCGGGCGUCUCAGUGACGUCUGAUUUAAAUAGCAAGCAUGUUGAUUUCGUCCAUGUCUUCAUGAAACAACACAUGACUGAGUUAGUGUCAUCGUUUCACUCUAUAGCCCAAAACUUCGAGUUCGCGGGGGGUUUUUUCCACUAGAAUUUUUUAGAUGAAAUUUCCAAAAGUUUUGAACAUAUUGUUUAAAUUGGCGCAAACAGUCUCCAAGAUUUCAAACCACAUGAUGUUGUAAAUAGGUAGUAGAUCUCUGGACAACGAGUACACCGCACAAGUGUACCCUAUGACCCUCACCAUGCACCAUGCUUGUUGCCUGAUAAUUCAUUAAAUUUUAAAUGAAAGAAUUCUCAAUCUUAUUUUCAUUAUUGCACUUUAAAGAAGAUAUUAAAAGAUUUCCCCUAUAUUUUGAUAUAAAGACAUGUUUGUUUUCUUAAAUUCCUGUAAAACAGCAAUCGAUUGAAAAAUGCUAGUAAAAGCUUAAUUUUGCUAGUUGGAAAAUAAUCCACUAGCUAAAAUUUGCUAGUAGUGAAAAAAGUUAAUUUCGAUCCCUGACAUGUUGACCAAAUUGGCACUCAGCUGUAAUAAAACAUUGUAUGUAGGGAACAUGUACUAGAAGGAAAGAGCGUUUAUGUAUACAUUUAGUUUUUAUGUAAUAUUCAUUAAUUAUUAUUAUAUGAUUGAUAUUAAAUAUGUAAAUACUUA